rnacentral:rRNA from 1 species
GACGAACGCUGGCGGCGUGCUUAACACAUGCAAGUCGAACGGAAAGGCCCUGCUUUUGUGGGGUGCUCGAGUGGCGAACGGGUGAGUAACACGUGAGUAACCUGCCCUUGACUUUGGGAUAACUUCAGGAAACUGGGGCUAAUACCGGAUAGGAGCUCCUGCUGCAUGGUGGGGGUUGGAAAGUUUCGGCGGUUGGGGAUGGACUCGCGGCUUAUCAGCUUGUUGGUGGGGUAGUGGCUUACCAAGGCUUUGACGGGUAGCCGGCCUGAGAGGGUGACCGGCCACAUUGGGCCUGAGAUACGGCCCAGCCUCCUACGGGAGGCAGCAGUGGGGAAUAUUGCACAAUGGGCGGAAGCCUGAUGCAGCAACGCCGCGUGCGGGAUGACGGCCUUCGGGUUGUAAACCGCUUUCGCCUGUGACGAAGCGUGAGUGACGGUAAUGGGUAAAGAAGCUCCGGCUAACUACGUG